rnacentral:rRNA from 1 species
CAGCCAGGAUGUUGGCUUAGAAGCAGCCAUCAUUUAAAGAAAGCGUAAUAGCUCACUGGUCGAGUCGGCCUGCGCGGAAGAUGUAACGGGGCUAAACCAUGCACCGAAGCUGCGGCAGCGACACUCAGGUGUUGUUGGGUAGGGGAGCGUUCUGUAAGCCUGCGAAGGUGGCCUGUGAGGGUUGCUGGAGGUAUCAGAAGUGCGAAUGCUGACAUAAGUAACGAUAAAGCGGGUGAAAAGCCCGCUCGCCGGAAGACCAAGGGUUCCUGUCCAACGUUAAUCGGGGCAGGGUGAGUCGACCCCUAAGGCGAGGCCGAAAGGCGUAGUCGAUGGGAAACGGGUUAAUAUUCCCGUACUUGGUGUUACUGCGAAGGGGGGACGGAGAAGGCUAUGUUGGCCGGGCGACGGUUGUCCCGGUUUAAGCGUGUAGGUGUGUGUUCCAGGUAAAUCCGGUUCACUUUAACACUGAGGCGUGAUGACGAGGCACUACGGUGCUGAAGCAACAAAUGCCCUGCUUCCAGGAAAAGCCUCUAAGCAUCAGGUAACAUCAAAUCGUACCCCAAACCGACACAGGUGGUCAGGUAGAGAAUACCAAGGCGCUUGAGAGAACUCGGGUGAAGGAACUAGGCAAAAUGGUGCCGUAACUUCGGGAGAAGGCACGCUGACACGUAGGUGAAGUGAUUUACUCAUGGAGCUGAAGUCAGUCGAAGAUACCAGCUGGCUGCAACUGUUUAUUAAAAACACAGCACUGUGCAAACACGAAAGUGGACGUAUACGGUGUGACGCCUGCCCGGUGCCGGAAGGUUAAUUGAUGGGGUCAGCGCAAGCGAAGCUCCUGAUCGAAGCCCCGGUAAACGGCGGCCGUAACUAUAACGGUCCUAAGGUAGCGAAAUUCCUUGUCGGGUAAGUUCCGACCUGCACGAAUGGCGUAAUGAUGGCCAGGCUGUCUCCACCCGAGACUCAGUGAAAUUGAACUCGCUGUGAAGAUGCAGUGUACCCGCGGCAAGACGGAAAGACCCCGUGAACCUUUACUAUAGCUUGACACUGAACAUUGAGCCUUGAUGUGUAGGAUAGGUGGGAGGCUUUGAAGUGUGGACGCCAGUCUGCAUGGAGCCGGCCUUGAAAUACCACCCUUUAAUGUUUGAUGUUCUAACGUGGACCCGUGAUCCGGGUUGCGGACAGUGUCUGGUGGGUAGUUUGACUGGGGCGGUCUCCUCCUAAAGAGUAACGGAGGAGCACGAAGGUUGGCUAAUCCUGGUCGGACAUCAGGAGGUUAGUGCAAUGGCAUAAGCCAGCUUGACUGCGAGCGUGACGGCGCGAGCAGGUGCGAAAGCAGGUCAUAGUGAUCCGGUGGUUCUGAAUGGAAGGGCCAUCGCUCAACGGAUAAAAGGUACUCCGGGGAUAACAGGCUGAUACCGCCCAAGAGUUCAUAUCGACGGCGGUGUUUGGCACCUCGAUGUCGGCUCAUCACAUCCUGGGGCUGAAGUAGGUCCCAAGGGUAUGGCUGUUCGCCAUUUAAAGUGGUACGCGAGCUGGGUUUAGAACGUCGUGAGACAGUUCGGUCCCUAUCUGCCGUGGGCGCUGGAGAACUGAGGGGGGCUGCUCCUAGUACGAGAGGACCGGAGUGGACGCAUCACUGGUGUUCGGGUUGUCAUGCCAAUGGCACUGCCCGGUAGCUAAAUGCGGAAGAGAUAAGUGCUGAAAGCAUCUAAGCACGAAACUUGCCCCGAGAUGAGUUCUCCCUGAGACUUUAGGUCUCCUGAAGGAACGUUGAAGACGACGACGUUGAUAGGCCGGGUGUGUAAGCGCAGCGAUGCGUUGAGCUAACCGGUACUAAUGAACCGUGAGGCUUAACCUUACA